ACACAUUAUCAAACGAGCUUCUUCUCUCUCCGUCAAGGCGUCAACAAGCUACUUCUUCUCGCCGCCGCCGCUUGCAUCGCACGAGCUCCUUCGGCGCCGCUCGCAUCACACCAGGUGCCGCUCGCAUUGCACGAGCCCCUCCGGCGCCUCUCGCAUCGCGUUGCUCCCUUCGUCACCAUCGUCGCAGAGCCCUCUCCACCACUCUCGUCGCGCGUCUGCUCCCUUCAUCGCCGUCGUCGCAGUGCUCUCUCGCCAGAUAGGUUAUCUUUUCAACAACUAUUGUAUCCAAGUAUUCAAGUAUCCAUGUUUUCUGUGACAUAUAUUCCUAGCUAGGUUUUCCAAUCUGUGAUAGCUUGAUCUGAUCUAUGAAUUUCCUUUUCUUUUUUUUUUUGACAUAAUCUUUUCUUAUUCCAACUAAUAAACCACUUCAAAUUUUCCUAAAUCAUAAAAACCCUACCAAAAUCUGAACUAGAAUUAACCCAUAGAAGGUGGAAUCAGAGCCUAACAGCAAUGGUGCAGGUUCUAGUAGUGGUGGUACAGGUUUAUGAGUUUAUAUUCUAGUAGUGGUGGUGUAGCUUCUAAUAGUGGUCAUCAUCAACAUCAACACCAUCAUCAUCAAGUAGUUGAAGAGGUUUCAGUGCAAAGGGUGAAGAAGGAGGAGGUUAAUGCAAAGAUAUCAGCAUGGCAGAACUGAAUUUGUGCAGAGAGUUUGGAAUGGAAUUAUUUAUUUAAUUUGUUGAAAUUGCUUCUUGUUGUGUUCUGUACCCUACUUUACAAUAAUCAAGGAAUAAUUUUUUAUAGAAAAUCUAUUAGUUUCAAGAAAAACCACUCCGAUCUACUUUAACUCGAAGACCGUCUCAAGAGCAGCUACGGCUACGAAUUACCUCCAGAUUUUGAGGAUGAAGAGGAUGGAGAAGAAGAAGAAGGAGGAGAGAUUUUAGCUCCUAUGCCGGAUUCUAGCUUCACCGAAGAUGAUUUGUAUCCUUCUCCAAUUUUUGGCUGCUGAACAAUUUUUAGCAUAGAACUGAAAAAAUGAAAAUAAAAAAUUUUGUAGAUGAAAUAGUGAAAUUAUGUUGAUCUGUCACUUGAUCUGGUCUUGUGGUCAUGUUGAUGUUGAUUUCAUGAAAACAAAACUUUUGCUUUGAUUAUUUGUUUGUUACUAACUCUAUUUGUACCACUAUCUUAUUUUCUUGCACCGGUGCUACUGAUUUAUUUUCACAAGAACUUGAGAUGUAAGUUAAAAGUUGUGAAUAUUAUUUCCACAUUUCUGUAGAUGAUUGCUGCAAGUUUCUCAUUUCCUAAGCAAUGGUUGAACAGACAACAAGAGUUUAAGCAGCAGCAGCAACCUGUGGAAGACAGAAUAGUGACAUUUGAGGGGAGGAAUUUAUUUAUCUGAUGAGGCAAACAAGGAGAAUUUAGAGUCACCUGAACCUUCCAGCUCUCUUAUAAAGAUAUUGAAAAUAGAAUUUGAAUGUCUUCCUGGCUACAUGAAGGGUCUAACGACAUGGGAGCGGUUAAGAGCAAUAUAUGAACUCAGGUGGGAGAUAGAGCCUCUGGAUUUGUCUUUCGUAUCUGGGAUUUUUUCAUUUAGCAGACUCUGAUCUUAUGGCACUUGACAGGUAUCUUUCUUAAAC